UAUAAAGAGGAGUUUCCGAGAGGUCAGGAAAAAAUGGCAUGACCUCACGUCUCGCACUAAGCGCAAAGAGGCCAAACGCCGUGCAGCAGUGCGGCAGACAGGUGAUGGUGUGGGGCCCAGUCCACUGUCAGAGUGGGAGAAGAAGAUGUAAGUGAAAGGCUCUACAACCUAGAGAAGGAUUGCUUAGCAUUAGAGGAGGAGAGGUUGAAAGUAGAAAAAGUGCGUUUACAGUAAGAAAGGGAGAGAUUAGAAAUUGACAAAAGUAACAAAGUGGUAUUUGAAAAAAUAACAGAAUACUGUG